rnacentral:tRNA from 1 species
CGCAGGGUGGAGCAACGGUUGGCUCGUCGGCCUCAUAAGCCGGAGAUAGUUGGUUCGACUCCAACCCCUGCAA